rnacentral:rRNA from 1 species
ACUCAAAUGAAUUGACGGGGGCCCGCACAAGCGGAGGAGCAUGUGGCUUAAUUCGAUGCAACGCGAAGAACCUUACCCGGGUUUGACAUGCAGCUGCAAGUCCCAUGAAAGUGGGAUCCCUUCGAGGGUGCUGCACAGGUGCUGCAUGGCUGUCGUCAGUUCGUGCCGUGAGGUGUUUGGUUAAGUCCAGCAACGAACGCAACCCCUGCGCUUAGUUACCAGCGAGUAAUGUCGGGGACUCUAAGCGGACCGCCCGUGCAAGCGGGAGGAAGGUGGGGAUGACGUCAAGUCAGUAUGGCCCUUACGCCCGGGGCUGCACACGUGCUACAAUGGCCGGUACAAUGGGAUGCUAGACCGCAAGGUGACGCAAACCCCCAGAACCGGCCCCAGUUCGGAUAGGAGUCUGCAACUCGACUCCUUGAAGCCGGAUUCGCUAGUAACGGCGUAUCAGCUACGACGCCGUGAAUACGUUCCCGGGCCUUGUACACACCGCCCGU